rnacentral:pre_miRNA from 1 species
UUAAACCUCUAACUGUGACUGAUUUUUUUGGAAAAAUAUAUUAACAUCUGCAAGCUGAAAUAAGUGCACUAUCAAGACAUGGAGAAUUUAAUGAAACUAAUUUGAUGUCAUAGAUAUUGGCGUAUUUUUCUAUAAACUUGGUGAAAGUUAGAGAAGUUUGACUU